rnacentral:lncRNA from 1 species
CCCAUUAGGAAUGAUUUUGUCCAUCAAAAUAAAUUGACAAAAAAAAAUAUGAAGGAUUUAACAUGAUCCAUCCAUGCCAAUUAACCAUAUCUACCUAUAAAAAUAAAAUAGGUAUCUAAUAAAUAAAAGGUAUCCAUAUCAUUUAACUAAAUCUGCCAAUAAAAAUAAAAAAUACAUCUAACAGAUAGGCAUCUAUAAAAAAAGAUGAGAAUAAUUUUUAUUUUCUUCCUAAUUUAUUGGCUAGGGAUAUUUUUGUCUCAAAAUAAUUCAAGCAUAUCACCAGUAUCCGAUGAUAUACUAUCA